rnacentral:rRNA from 1 species
GAUGAACGCUAGCUACAGGCUUAACACAUGCAAGUCGAGGGGAAACGACAUCGAAAGCUUGCUUUUGAUGGGCGUCGACCGGCGCACGGGUGAGUAACGCGUAUCCAACCUGCCCACCACUUGGGGAUAACCUUGCGAAAGUAAGACUAAUACCCAAUGAUAUCUCUAGAAGACAUCUGAAAGAGAUUAAAGAUUUAUCGGUGAUGGAUGGGGACGCGUCUGAUUAGCUUGUUGGCGGGGUAACGGCCCACCAAGGCUACGAUCAGUAGGGGUCCUGAGAGGAAGGUCCCCCACAUUGGAACUGAGACACGGUCCAAACUCCUACGGGAGGCAGCAGUGAGGAAUAUUGGUCAAUGGACGGGAGUCUGAACCAGCCAAGUAGCGUGCAGGAUGACGGCCCUAUGGGUUGUAAACUGCUUUUAUAAGGGAAUAAAGUGAGUCUCGUGAGACUUUUUGCAUGUACCUUAUGAAUAAGGACCGGCUAAUUCCGUGCCAGCCGCCGCAGUAA